AUGGACUGCUGCUUCCCCUGCCUGGGCGCCAGGAAGAAGCGCAAGACGCCGGCGCGGCCGGAGAAGCCCCAGAUCCCUCCCGCCGCAGACAAUAAAGCGAAGCCGGGGUGCUCCUCGUCGUCGACGAGCGCGGCGGCGGCGGCGCGGCAGGACUCGCUGUCGGAGGCCAAGAAGGAGUUCGUCCUCAGCAACGGGUCCGAGCACCGCCACAUUGCCGCGCAGACCUUCACCUUCAGGGAGCUCGCGGCGGCGACCAACGGUUUCAGGGCCGACUGCCUUCUCGGGGAGGGUGGCUUCGGCCGGGUCUACAAGGGGUACCUGGAGAGCAUCAACCAGGUUGUCGCCAUAAAGCAGCUCGAUCGAAAUGGACUGCAAGGCAACAGGGAGUUUCUUGUUGAGGUCCUCAUGCUGAGCUUGCUGCACCACCCACACCUGGUCAACCUUAUUGGCUAUUGCGCCGAUGGCGACCAGAGGCUUUUGGUUUACGAGUAUAUGCCGCUGGGUUCUUUGGAAGACCACCUUCACGAUCCUUCCCCAGAUAAACCCCGCCUUGACUGGAAUACACGGAUGAAGAUAGCCGCUGGUGCAGCUAAAGGGCUGGAGCAUUUGCAUGACAAAACAAAUCCUCCUGUCAUAUACCGGGACUUGAAAUGUUCAAACAUCUUGCUCGGAGAGGGAUACCACCCAAAGCUGUCUGACUUUGGAUUGGCAAAGCUUGGCCCAGUUGGUGAUAAGACACAUGUUUCCACCAGAGUGAUGGGUACAUACGGGUAUUGUGCCCCCGAGUAUGCUAUGACUGGUCAGCUGACUCUGAAGUCAGAUGUUUACAGCUAUGGUGUUGUUCUAUUGGAGAUCAUCACAGGACGAAGGGCUAUCGACAACACCCGAGCUGCGGGGGAGCAAAAUCUUGUUGCAUGGGCCCGGCCCUUGUUCAAGGACAGGAGGAAGUUCCCCCAGAUGGCAGACCCGGCGCUGGAGGGCUGGUACCCGCCAAGGGGACUGUACCAGGCCCUGGCCGUCGCUGCAAUGUGCGUGCAAGAACAGCCGACCCUGAGACCGUUGAUCGGCGACGUCGUCACAGCCCUGAGCUACCUUGCCUCCCAGCCCUACGAUCCGGAGGUGCACGGCGUCCACCGCCCGUCGCGCCUGACGGCUUCCGGCACGCCGCCCCGAGCCCGGAACCACGGCGCCGAUCAUCAAAGAGGAGGAAGCGAGUGA
rnacentral:rRNA from 1 species